rnacentral:rRNA from 1 species
CAUGGCGCUGGAGGUAGGCCGUAACACAUGCAAGUCGAACCGNAGCACANAGAAGCUUGCUCCUUGNGUGGCGAGUGGCGGACGGGUGAGGAAUACAUCGGAAUCUACUCUGUCGUGGGGGAUAACGUAGGGAAACUUACGCUAAUACCGCAUACGACCUACGGGUGAAAGCAGGGGAUCUUCGGACCUUGCGCGAUUGAAUGAGCCGAUGUCGGAUUAUCUAGUUGGCGGGGUAAAGGCCCACCAAGGCGACGAUCCGUAUCUGGUCUGAGAGGAUGAUCACCCACACUGGAACUGAGACACGGUCCAGACUCCUACGGGAGGCAGCAGUGGGGAAUAUUGGACAAUGGGCGCAAGCCUGAUCCAGCCAUACCGCGUGGGUGAAGAAAGCCUUCCGGUUGUAAAGCCCUUUUGUUGUGAAAGAAAUCCAGCCUGGCUAAUACCUGGUUGGGAUGACGGG